GAGCUAAUACCGGAUAAUAUAUUGAACCGCAUGGCUCAAUAGUGAAAGACGGUUUUGCUGUCACUUAUAGAUGGAUCCGCGCCGCAUUAGCUAGUUGGUAAGGUAACGGCUUACCAAGGCAACGAUGCGUAGCCGACCUGAGAGGGUGAUCGGCCACACUGGAACUGAGACACGGUCCAG
rnacentral:rRNA from 1 species